GUGGGCCUAAUGCUGCAAUGUUCCGCUGAUGAUGCUUUCUUGUGCCAAGUUCUAUGGUGUCAUGAGAUCAGAAAAUGUUUGAAUGGCAGGAUUCGUGAUGAUAUUGAAAAGGAGGUUGCUUUCCAAGGCCUAUGUGCAAUGGUAUGAAUUUGAUUUCAGAAGUUAUCAUCAUCAAGGGUGAAUCAAUAACUAAACUCGAGUAUUUGGGAUCCCUUCGAGGUCCAAGCAAAUCUUUCGAGAGCUUUAAGUUCACUUGUAUUCAUGUGCAAAGCUAUAGCAAGUUGGCAUGAAAUAAGGAGCAAGGAGCUACACAAUGAACUUUGUCAGGUGUUGCAUGGCUAUAAACAGGAAUCUACCAGUUGUUUGGAUAUAUGUGGAGAUUGGAAAAUGGGUUUGCUUGAAGAUGCAGAUGUUACAGCUAAUUUC